GCCAGGCUGGCUCAGUCAGUAGAGCAUGUGACUCUUGAUCUCAGAGUUGUGAGUUCAAGGUCCACGUUGGGCA
rnacentral:tRNA from 1 species